ensembl:lncRNA uncharacterized LOC107565861
AUGAGGGCUUUUCUGUUUGCAGUCGACGAGGCUCGAAACGGCGAAGAUAACACAACGCCUGUUGACGAUGCUCGUCGUCUUACAAAUGGUGAAGAGAAUACAAUUCAAAGUCGGCUUGUUUCGCCAUCAGGAGUCCCGUCGUCAUGUGCACCUGAUGAAUCAGCAGCCCCGUAUAACCUUAAAACGGUGGUAUCGGUACCUUUGAGUGGCAGUAACAGUGGGUCUGAACCCUGUGACGGCGGUGUAGCAGUGACGCCAGGGGAUUCACUCCAGGAUACAACAACACCGAGUCUUCAGCCCAAGUCCAAUGGAUGCAACACGUCCACCUUGAGAUGUGGGGAAAAGCGGGAGAGGGAAUCGGACAACCCCUCUGAUGUUCCUGUGAAACGGCGUUUGAGACCAUCAGAGGAUAACGGGAAAGAAUGUUUACCAGACUACGACGUGAGAUGUGCGGAGCUAUGGAUCGAUGGUGAAAUGGCUGCUUGGGAGGCUUGUGAAUCAUCAAAGUCCAGCAGCAACACCCAACGCCAACAUGUUGUUCGACAACAUGACGGUAACCGUUCUGUCAAUCAGCCUUCCACCCAGAAGGACAUUGUACGUGUUGUUCAAGCCGAAGUGGCAGCCUGUUUUCAACCCAUCACAAAGUUGAUUCUUUUAAAUAUGGAGUGGAGCAGAACUGAUUUCGCUGAGAUGAUAAAUAGACUUCGUGCACUGCAAAGGGAUGUCACAGAGUUGGCAAAUGAAAUGCUUAAUAUGCGAGCAGAUCAAAGACUGGCGUUAGACGCAAUCUCUCUUAUGAAUGAAAGAAUGAGUGUCAUUCAAAGGUGUGUGCGUGAGACGCACCAAAUGAUGACUACUACUAGAAAAUGAUGGGUCUGUUUAUUAUAUCAUACGGAUUUUUGCCUAUUUUUGCUAAAUUUUUUCUUUUUUAUAUAUAAUUGUAUUAACGAGUGAUUUUUUUAAAAUGAUGUGCAUGCUUGUUUAUUAUAUCACUUUUGGGUGUUGUUUGAAUAGUUUUCUUAAAUAAAUAGCUUCAAAAUGGCCCCUAAAAGAUGUCACACGGAUUUCAAUGACAGCCCACCAGAUACUGAG